rnacentral:lncRNA from 1 species
UAGGAAUGUGCUUCUACUUUAGGAUAUUAUAUGUUUUUGCGUCUUUUAGUAAAUCACAGGAAAUAUAUCGUAAUCGACUCAUUAUGAUAUACCGUUUCGUACCAUAUUACGAAAGGAAGCGGACAAAGUAUCUUUUCAUCAUAUUUUCCAUGCAUGCAUAUAAUGUUAUCUCUUUGCAAUUCCAAACCAAGCCUUAACUCUUUAUUUCUUUAUUUCUUUUUUUUUUGAGCUAUUGAGUGGAUGACAUUAGACACCCUUUUUUUUUCGAGAGAGAUAAGUAGCACACUACCCGCUUCGUUUAUUUUAUUUAGAAAUAAACUUAGCUGGAAAUGUGAAUCAACUAGGAUUCGAACUUGGGAUCUCGGAUACCAACCACCAAAUCCUUUGCCACUUGCUCUAGGGACGGUCAGUGACAUUAAACAACCUAUAAAACCAACUUUGAAGCUGUUUUAAACAACUAUAUUUU